rnacentral:lncRNA from 1 species
ACGCCGUCGCGGCGCUCGACGCCGGCAGGUUCGACGCCGCCGCGCUGCAGAUCGGCGCCGGGCAAUCGGAGGUGGAGCUGUGCAAGAGCGGGUGCGAGCGCGUGCAGCUGCCGGAGCUGCUCGCCGCGCGCAACAGCGCCGUCGACCGCCUCUGCAACGUCGCUACGGACAUCACCAGGGUGCUCCAGCUUAAGCAGCACUGAUCGCAUCGAUCCGCGGCUACCGUCCUGAAGCCCUCGCAUUGGCUACGCUGCUAUCUACUCCGUAUUUGUAUUUUGAUGGCCUGAUUCAAUCGCACUGCAUUUGGCAAUGUAAAUCAGCGUGUUAUUAUUAUUAAUUCAAGUGCCAAAGCUGAGAUGUUUCUGUCAAGCUCGAUCCAAUUAAUGAUCAUGAUCUACACUCAAUUAUCUGGACUGUUCAAUAAUCUGGGCCGCCAUUUCAUCCCCAAUGGGAUCCUCUAAAUUAAAUAAAUUAGGCUUCGUUUGGCAAAAGGGGUUUUAUUCCCAGGGUAAAUCAAUCACGUGGAGGGGAUUGGGUUAAUACACUCCCCUCACCCAAUCCCCCUCUACCAUGUGUACACUACUUUAACUGUUUGGGUAAGAAGUUGCGGCGCCGACGGACGACGUGCGGCGCCAGCCGAAGCGGAGAGGCCGAUAUCUUCGUUUUUUUUCUGGCGGCAUCGGUGAUAGAGUUCCACCGGAGGCGUGGAGCAGUGGAACGAUUUUCAGUAGGGUUUGGGAUGGAUUGGGC